GACGAACGCUGGCGGCGUGCUUAACACAUGCAAGUCGAGCGGUAAGGCCCUUCGGGUACACGAGCGGCGAACGGGUGAGUAACACGUGGGUGACCUGCCUCUAGCUCUGGGAUAAGCCUGGGAAACUGGGUCUAAUACCGGAUAUGACUCCACGGCGCAUGUUGUGGGGUGGAAAGCCUUGUGUGGCUAGAGAUGGGCCCGCGGCCUAUCAGCUUGUUGGUGGGGGAUGGCCUACCAAGGCGACGACGGGUAGCCGGCCUGAGAGGGCGACCGGCCACACUGGGACUGAGACACGGCCCAGACUCCUACGGGAGGCAGCAGUGGGGAAUCUUGCGCAAUGGGCGAAAGCCUGACGCAGCGACGCCGCGUGAGGGAUGACGG
rnacentral:rRNA from 1 species